UACGUAGGGUGCGAGCGUUGUCCGGAAUUACUGGGCGUAAAGAGCUCGUAGGUUGGUUUGUCGCGUUGUCCGUGAAAACUCACAACUCAAUUGUGGGCGUGCGGGCGAUACGGGCAGACUGGAGUACUGCAGGGGAGACUGGAAUUCCUGGUGUAGCGGUGGAAUGCGCAGAUAUCAGGAGGAACACCGGUGGCGAAGGCGGCAUCCUGGACCGGCAUUGACGCUGAGGCGCGAAAGCCAGGGGAGCAAACGGG
rnacentral:rRNA from 1 species